UCCUUUGACAUUAUGCAUGAUAUAAAUUUUCUAGAUUUUGAAAAAUUAAAUCAAGAAACAACAAUGAUGCAAGACAUGAUGCUUCAUCCUCAAGAACAUCAUCAACUUUUUAAUGUACAAGAAGAGAUGCCAAGCCCAAUAAAUGAUCAAAUUUUGAAUUUUUGUGAAUCUGAACUUUUUUCAGAAAUACAAAAUUCAGAUGUUGCUUCUACCUCAAAUAAUUCUUCUUAUAGUACUAGCACUACAACAAAUUUCGAUCUAAAUAAAAUCGAAAAAAAUGAUGAAACGAUCACAAAAACAACUACGAGUAAUGUUAACAAUAAUAGGUCGAUGAUAUUUGAUACACAGGAUGAAAUUGAUAACGAUAUUUCAGCAUCAAUAGACUUUACCCCAUCCGCGAAUUUCACUGUUCCUGAUCAUCAUUUUUUACAACAACAAGAGGAGCAAUUCGACGUAAAUUGCUCUGUUAUUCCCCUGUCUCAUCAUCUUAUGGGGCCUUCAUUAUACGAAGAUGAAUCGUUGACAUCUCUCCCUCCUUACAUCCGAGGAGUCACAAGUACUCCUUCAUGUGCAUUUCUUGAUCAUAAUAUGGUGAAUUAUCUUCAAGGAAAUAUCAACAACACAAUAUUUGAUGCAGCUGCUAAUAGUCAUGCAUUGUUUUUUGGAUCUCAAUUGCCAAAUCAAGAAAUGGAUUAUCAAGGAGAAAAUGGUAGAAUUUUUUGCCCUGAUUCCUUGUCAAGAAUCUAUAACAAUGAGAUUCAGGCAUUGAGCAAUGAGAGUCAACAUUUGGUUAGUGGUGGUGGUUGUUCUAAUACUUUGGCCACAGAAAUCACAAGUUUUGAAGAUCCUACCUUUAAAUCUGGUAGGUGUUCAGUUGAAGAAAGGAGGGAGAAGAUUCAUAGAUACAUGAAGAAAAGAAAUGAGAGAAAUUUCCGCAAAAAAAUUAAGUAUGCAUGCAGAAAAACACUAGCAGAUAGUAGGCCAAGAGUGAAGGGAAGAUUUGCAAGAAAUGAUGAAUUUGGUGAGGCAAGUAAAGCAAAUUCUUGUGGUACUAUUGAAGAGGAUACAAUUAGUCAUGAAGAUGUUAGACUCAAUGAUAUAAUGUAUCAUCCAAAUAUGGUUACAUCUUCAACACAUCAUGACAACAAUGCCACAAUUUUCACCUCAAAUUGUCAUGUACCAACUACUAAUGAUCCCUAUGAUAUGUGCACACCUCUCUAUUGUACAGAUGGUCAAAUGCACUAAGUUAAAGAGUUUCUAUAAAGCUCUACAAUGUGCUCCUGUAUAAGUUCUUCCUCUACAUAUAACAAGUAUUAGGUAGUGAAAGAAGAAGAGGUGGAAUUCAUUAUAUAUAUAUAUUAUUGGUGUGAUGUGAAUUCAGAUAUUGCAUCAAGCAAUCUUGGAUUUGAUCAGCUGUGUCAACUUUUAUUUUGGAUACAAUUUUUGCAGAAAUUUGUUUCCAAUGGGAUGUAUUAAUUAGUCAUAAACUAAUUAAUUAGAGAAAACAAAGAAUAACUAGUAAUAACUUAAUCAAUAUCCUUUAGUUAGGGCAUGUACGUAAAUUUUGUAAAUGUUAUGCUAUUGUAAGUUAGACUUUUGUGUUUUGGAAACUUCAAAUAUUUUUUUUUGAAACUCAAAGGUCAAACUUCAAAUAUAUUUGGUUUUGGCUAGGCCAGACUUCAUAUAUAUAAUGACUUAUUUAGAUCGACUUCAGAUAUUUUUAUCGAAGUUAUGGCCUUGUCAAUACCCAUAAUUAGAAAAAAAAAACCCUAAGUUUGUGGCCUUGACAAUGCCAAA